UGAGGAAUAUUGGUCAAUGGGCGAGAGCCUGAACCAGCCAAGUCGCGUGAAGGAAGACUGCCUUAUGGGUUGUAAACUUCUUUUAUACAGGAAUAAAAAGGCUUACGUGUAGGCCAUUGCAAGUACUGUAUGAAUAAGCAUCGGCUAACUCCGUGCCAGCAGCCGCGGUAAUACGGAGGAUGCGAGCGUUAUCCGGAUUUAUUGGGUUUAAAGGGUGCGCAGGCGGGCUUUUAAGUCAGCGGUGAAAUCUGGACGCUUAACGUCCAAACUGCCGUUGAAACUGGGAGUCUUGAGUAUGGAUGAAGUAGGCGGAAUUCGUUGUGUAGCGGUGACAUGCAUAGAUAUAACGAGGAACUCCGAUUGCGUAGGCAGCUUACUAAGCCAUAACUGACGCUCAUGCACGAAAGCGUGGGGAUCAAACAGGAUUAGAUACCCUGGUAGUCCACGCCGUAAACGAUGAUUACUAGUUGUAUGCGAUAUGAUAGUAUGUGACUAAGCGAAAGCGAUAAGUAAUCCACCUGGGGAGUACGCCGCAACGGUGAAACUCAAAGGAAUUGACGGGGUCAUAGCUGUUUCCUG
rnacentral:rRNA from 1 species